CAUCCUGACACCCAUUUAGUCACUCGGUGAGGUCGAGCCGCGGACCCCCGACCCCUCCCCUGUUCCCUGUGUGCCCACUCUGCUCACUGUCCAUCUUUUCCCACUCUUGGAGACUCCUGCCCCGCCGCCACCGGAACCUUCAGGGCAGGGGAAGCCAUGUCUCUUUUCUCCACCAUGACGACCGGGGAGAGGAAGCUUCAGGCUGCGGCAAUCUGCAGGGAGAUUCAAGGCCUGGAAGACGUGGAGAUGGAUCUCGGCAAGAAGGUGAGCGUGCCCCAGGACAUCAUGCUGGAGGAGCUGUCCCUGGAAUCUAAUCGGGGUUCACGGCUCUUCAAGAUGCGCCAGGAACGCUCCCGAAAGUACACCUUUGAAAACGUCCUCAACGACCGCAACACGCAGCUCAACAACACGACCGACUCGCCAGCUGAUAAAGGGAAUUCCACAGAGGACCGCAACUCUGCUGACAACGCGGUCGGCGUGCACCAGGCCUGCACGACAGAAACCGUGACAGAAACUGUGCCAGAUCCGCACAGCAUCGCGCCUGGGUACGGGGGUCCGUUGAAAGACGUCCCUCCGGAGAAAUUCAACAGCACGGCCAUCCCAAAGUCCUAUCACUCGCCGUGGGACCGGGCUCUUAUCAGAGACCUGACCCAAGAUGACACUCUCAUCUCCUGCGUUUCCGAACCCGAACCACCGGCGGACCUGCCGGGCUACAAAAGCUUCAAUAGAGUGGCCAUCCCAUUCGGCGGCUUCUCCAAGGCACCCGUCAAGACCCCGAAGGCGGAGUUCGUCGUGCCAGACUACCCCGACCUCAGAGGGGGCGCUUCGGCCUGUCGACCUUCUUUCAACCGAGCCGCUUUAGGGUGGCAGGCAGAAGGCGCGCCGGUCCCGGUCCCGGUCCCCGUCGUGUCCCAGGAGGCCACGAUUCCCCCUGAGUCAGAUGACCUUUGAUCCUGCUAGCAACAGUCAAAAUGAGGCACAACAACCUGUGGAGUAGUCACAAAUAAUCUUAAACAGGAAAAAGUCAACUUGGCUGAUGAAGGCUCAUCACAGUCUCCACUUUUGGCCGCACUCCAGAGUAACGCGGUCAAGUGCCAACCAGGAAGUGCUGCUUAUGUCAUGCACUUUUCUGCAGUAAGACCACAGAAUAAAAAAAGCA